rnacentral:rRNA from 2 species
CCAAGGAGUCUAACAUGUGCGCGAGUCAUUGGGACCGCAAAACCUAAAGGCGUAAUGAAAGUGAAGGUCGACCUUGCGUCGACUAAGGGAGGAUGGGUUGCGUCACGAUGCAGCCCCGCACUCCCGGGGCGUCUCGUACUCAUUGCGAGUAGAGGCGCACCCAGAGCGUACACGUUGGGACCCGAAAGAUGGUGAACUAUGCCUGGUCAGGACGAAGUCAGGGGAAACCCUGAUGGAGGUCCGUAGCGAUUCUGACGUGCAAAUCGAUCGUCGGAACUGGGUAUAGGGGCGAAAGACUAAUCGAACCAUCUAGUAGCUGGUUCCCUCCGAAGUUUCCCUCAGGAUAGCUGGCACUCGCGUGAGCGAGUCUCAUCUGGUAAAGCGAAUGAUUAGAGGCCUUGGGGCCGAAACGACCUCAACCUAUUCUCAAACUUUAAAUGGGUGAGAUCUCUGGCUUGCUUGAACAGUGAAGCCACGAGAUUUCGGAUCAGAGUGCCAAGUGGGCCAAUUUU